rnacentral:rRNA from 1 species
GAUGAACGCUAGCGGCAGGCCUAAUACAUGCAAGUCGAACGGCAGCACAGUCCGCCGAAAGGCGGAUGGGUGGCGAGUGGCGCACGGGUGCGUAACACGUAUGCAACUUACCCAUAACUGGGGCAUAGCUCCGAGAAAUCGGAGAUAAUUCCCCAUAACAUCACGAGGGGGCAUCCCUUUGUGAUUAAAGAAUUUCGGUUAUGGAUGGGCAUGCGCCCGAUAGCUAGUUGGCGAGGUAACGGCUCACCAAGGCAACGAUCGGUAGGGGGUCUGAGAGGAUGAUCCCCCACACGGGUACUGAGACACGGACCCGACUCCUACGGGAGGCAGCAGUAAGGAAUAUUGGACAAUGGCUGAAAAGCUGAUCCAGCCAUGCCGCGUGAAGGAUG